rnacentral:lncRNA from 1 species
GGACGUGAGGGAACGUGCAUCGGUACCUACCACGUGGAAGCGAUUUGAAUUCCAAUUCUUUUCAAAACCUGCAUAAUAGGUAUGAGUUAUAUGGCUUAGAUCAUAGCUCAAAUUAUAGUUCGGAUCAUGCUUUGCUUGAAUUAUGGCUCGGAUCACACCUUAUAAUCCUAAUUACAGUUAAACUUUUAGUUUAGCUCGAGAUUUAGCUAAUAUGGCUCAGAGCAUGAUCCACAUCAAACCAAGCAC